rnacentral:rRNA from 1 species
UACGUAGGCAGCGAGCGUUGUUCGGAAUUACUGGGCGUAAAGAGUGUGUAGGCGGUGCUCCCAGUCUGUUGUGAAAUCUCCCGGCUUAACUGGGAGGGUGCAGCGGAAACUAGAGUGCUAGAGGGUGGGAGAGGUAAGCGGAAUUCCUGGUGUAGCGGUGAAAUGCGUAGAUAUCAGGAGGAACACCGGUGGCGAAGGCGGCUUUCUGGACAUUUACUGACGCUGAGACGCGAAAGCGUGGGGAGCAAACAGG